GGAGAAAGCUUAGGGGAAGGGUUAAAGCAUGGUCAGGGCCUGAAACUGUGUCCAUCUUCAGCUCCUGGGGCCUGGCCAUACCAAAAUCAAAGGCAAGAAUGACAUCUGAGCAGCAAAGAAGCACAUCCAUUGAACAGACAAUAAAGCCACAGGAAAGAGAUUUAAUAAUCACUGAAACUCUGUGGGAUCAGGUGCUAUUGGCCUUUAAAGGAAUACAAAAAGAGCUUCAGGAAGAUGCUCGGAUUCGAGGCAUGAGCAACCGUUCUGUGGGAGUCACACCAUCUGUACCCCCCAGGACUGGGCACGAUCCUGCCUAAACCAAGAUCUGGAAAAGAAGCGUCAAGCCUCCAGAUCUCUCUACAGUCCCAAAUAAGGAUCACAGCUCAAAUUCUGGAGAGCAGUCAUCAGAAGCCCAUUCCUAGACCCCCAAGGAUGUAACCCCGUGACCAGCAAGCCUUCUACCCUAGACUCUAAACUUUGUCAUCAAGGAGUGUCUCCUGUGUUUCUUCCAGGACCCGGCUCAGUUGCCUGGUACUCAGAGGCUAUGACAUCAUCGUUGCCAGAAUCUUCCAGCAGCGAUUGUGAACUUGGACAUCAGCUGAGAGCCAGACACAUCCUGUCAAGCGAAGAAUCCAGCAGAUAAACAACGGAGGAAAUAAAUGUAAAACAAA